rnacentral:rRNA from 1 species
AUCUACACUAUGCCACCCUGAACAAGCCCGAUCCGUCUGAUCUUGGAAGUUAAGCAGGGUCAGGCUUGGUUAGUACUUGGAUGCGAGACCACCUAGGAAGACCAGGUGCUGUAGGCG